CGAAGAAGAACUUUCCUGUUGUUGUCCGAGGCUAAAGCUAGUUAGCUGGACGCUGGAAACUUUUCAUCAAACUUCACUCUGUGAUCCUCGAAUAUGUUUUUUGAAGAGUUCCAGAAGCACAAAGGUCGACAGUAAACCGGAAGAAGAAGAAAAUGCGAAGUUAGCGAGAAAAUGUGGAACAGCUGAGAAGAUUGUUGAAAUAGCGACUAACUGCUGCUAAUGCCGAGAUAUUUGAGUUGGUAGAAACAAAGUAAAAAACAUCGCAGAGCAGCAAGAAGUAACGUCAACAUGCAGGAUGCUGUUUUCAAGCCUGAAGUUCGCUGAUCCAGAGCAGGUGUGGACUCUACUAUGGAUCUGUGUGAGGACACAGAGGAGGGACCCUUGAAAUCCAGCCUGUGUGGGGACCAUGAGAUCCAGAUCAAAGCUCAGAGAGUGAAGCAGCAGAGCUCAGAGGUUCUCAGGGUUCCAUCUGCUCAGCAGCAUCAAAGACGCCUGAACUGCAUGUUUAUGGUCUGUUGACUUCAGUCACAUAUUAUCAUUGAACAGUUUGUUCAUAAUGUCUUUAUGCU